CAGGGCGUGUUUCAUGACCACGGCGCGGAAGCUCAGGCCCUUCAGGCGCGCGGUGCGUAUGUACUGGGCGGUCAUCACCUCAGCCAUCGAAGCGCGCGUCAUCCGUGCGAUGUAGCCGAUGCCGUAGAUGGCGAGCGUCAUCACCGGCAGGGUGA
rnacentral:ncRNA from 1 species